rnacentral:rRNA from 1 species
AGGGAAUAGAUACCCGGGUAGUCCACGCCGUAAACGAUGAAUACUAGGUGUAGGGGUUGUCAUGACCUCUGUGCCGCCGCUAAACGCAUUAAGUAUUCCGCCUGGGGAGUACGGUCGCAAGAUUAAAACUCAAAGGAAUUGACGGGGGCCCGCACAAGCAGCGGAGCAUGUGGUUUAAAUUCGAAGCAACGCGAAGAACCUUACCUAGACUUGACAUCUCCUGAAUUACUCUGUAAUGGAGGAAGCCACUUCGGUGGCAGGAAGACAGGUGGUGCAUGGUUGUCGUCAGCUCGUGUCGUGAGAUGUUGGGUUAAGUCCCGCAACGAGCGCAACCCUUAUUGUUAGUUGCUACCAUUUAGUUGAGCACUCUAGCGAGACUGCCCGGGUUAACCGGGAGGAAGGUGGGGAUGACGUCAAAUCAUCAUGCCCCUUAUGUCUAGGGCUACACACGUGCUACAAUGGUCGGUACAAUGAGAUGCAACCUCGCGAGAGUGAGCAAAACUAUAAAACCCGAUCUCAGUUCGGAUUGUAGGCUGAAAC